CGGUGAUCCUGUGCACCCCGAGAGCUUUCCCGGUCACCUCCGACCGAGUUGUGACGUUUGGAAGGUAAAAUUGCUAGUGGAGAAAUUCUAUAUCCUUAUUCGCACGACUCGCCUGCUAAGGAAUAUUUGUCAUAGUAACGAGGAUUACGACUGGACGUACGAGGCAUUUCCCU